GAUGAACGCUGGCGGCGUGCCUAAUACAUGCAAGUCGAGCGAACGGACGAGAAGCUUGCUUCUCUGAUGUUAGCGGCGGACGGGUGAGUAACACGUGGAUAACCUACCUAUAAGACUGGGAUAACUUCGGGAAACCGGAGCUAAUACCGGAUAAUAUUUUGAACCGCAUGGUUCAAAAGUGAAAGACGGUCUUGCUGUCACUUAUAGAUGGAUCCGCGCUGCAUUAGCUAGUUGGUAAGGUAACGGCUUACCAAGGCAACGAUGCAUAGCCGACCUGAGAGGGGGAGUGGCAAUAAUAGAACAGAGACAGGGACGGGAGUGAUACGGGAGGAAGAAGUAGGGAAUAGUGCGAAAGGGGGGAAAUACUGAAGGAGCAAUGCCGAGGGAGUGAUGAAUGUCUUAGGAUCGUAAAACUCUGUGAUUAGGGAAGAAAAAAAGGCGAGGAAAAUAUGCAUGUCCGGAGGGUACAUAAUGAGAAAGCGAGGGCUAACUUCGUG
rnacentral:rRNA from 1 species